AUGGAAAGUGUUCAAUUAGAACAUGAAAACGUGACUCAAUUGGUCUUAGCUGGUCUUCGGGACGGAGUGGAAGAAGGGCAGAGACUCUCGAACGAGGAAAAGGAUCCCUUCGAAAGAAUUGAUCGAGGAGCCGUAUGA
rnacentral:rRNA from 1 species